rnacentral:lncRNA from 1 species
CGGGAACUGUGCUGACUAAGCCACUAAACUUGUGAAAAUUUGUUGCAGCAGUCACCGAAAACUAAUACUAAAGGAGAAUCCAUGAGACACUGCCCGAGGAGUAGGCAAGAGCAAGACUCAAGGCUGCCAUUAAAGCAGAAGAUGGAUGAUAGUGCCAGUGAGUGUGCACGACGUUUGGAGCCCAGCCAAUCAGAUCUCACUUUUCCUCUCUGGAAGCCAGCAAACAAGUCUCUGAGCCUCUCUGAGCUUCAGGAUUCUCACAGCUAACUUGCAAGUUGUGAGGGUAAAGUGACGUUAGCACAGGAUGGAGCUCUGAGUGGCAUUCUGGCUUUAGUGUCUGUGUCCCCAGUUCAUGUGAUGUUCCAGUUCGUCAUGUUAAGCACCAUGUAGGACUUAUGCCUGUGCUGCUGCUGCUACCAUCCAGCGUUCUAGUCCAUGCUCUGCUGAGCAGCUUAAACGUCUGCAUGUGCCUGGCAUGACUUUAAUAGCAGCCUGCUCUGUGGCUCUGAG